UCUCGGCUUAUCACCGGCAGUCCCCUUAGAGUGCCCAACUUAAUGCUGGCAACUAAGGGCGAGGGUUGCGCUCGUUGCGGGACUUAACCCAACAUCUCACGACACGAGCUGACGACAGCCAUGCAGCACCUGUGUCGGCUCCUCUUACGAGGUCGGUCCCCUUUCGGUUUCCUACCACCGACAUGUCAAACCCAGGUAAGGUUUUUCGCGUUGCGUCGAAUUGAACCACAUGCUCCACCGCUUGUGCGGGUCCCCGUCAAUUCCUUUGAGUUUUAGCCUUGCGGCCGUACUCCCCAGGCGGGAUGCUUAAUGCGUUAACUGCGUUGCCGCAGGGGUCAAUACCCGCGACGACUAGCAUCCAUCGUUUACGGCGUGGACUAC
rnacentral:misc_RNA from 1 species